GUCCCUCCAAGGACAUCCAAUAAAAUUGGAAAGAUGUCGAGAAGAUUAGCAUGACCCUUACACAAGGACGACACGCACAAAUCAAGAAAGAAAAUUCUAGGUU